GCGGGUGUAGCUCAGUGGUAGAGCACUUCCUUGCCAAGGAAGACGUCGCGAGUUCGAGUCUCGUCACCCGCU
rnacentral:tRNA from 1 species